GCAGCGAGGCCUUUGAAUCUUGCACACAAGAUAAAUAAAUCGUCUCUGUCGGCUCAUUCCGAGCAUUAGAGUAAGUCAGUAGCUGCACACAUGUGUGAGGUUUCAGCUCAACGUUCAGGCUACAAACAAACACGUUUAGCAUGCGCAAGCUGUCUCGUCGGACAAAGUUGAAAAGGUUGUUGCUGUGACUGACGACAGCUUUCAAGCGCCGCCGCAACGCUGCGAGCGAGCUAGCGGCAGCGCCUGCUAACGGGGUACACUCCCCAGCAAUGGCGGGAAGAAGAGCGCCAGAGACGGUCAAGACAUUUUUUUGAAAUUGAGAAACGGCCAAGACGCCUCCGCUCGCUUCCUGCCGACAAACGUUGUCAGCGUAGCGCUGUCACGUCAACCGUUGUCGGUGGAGACACGCCUUGUUUUUACCUUAGCAGAAGACUCGGCCGCCAUGUCGCCGACACGUCACGUGCCUGUCGAACGCCACAACAACAUAUACGUCAGCUUCCGGUGAGAGCGUCGCCCCCUGGUGGCCGGCGUCCAGCACGGCUUCCUCCACAACGCUGAUGCUGUGACUGUGCAUGAUGUCUUGCAGCAUGUUGAAGAUUUCCUCAGCACGUGCGCACUUGAACGCAAAGAUACCUACGCCGCACGUAAACACACGCGCAUAAUGACAUCACCAAUACAAUAUGCAAAAAAUGUACAGCAAAUGCGUUCCAAGUGACGCUGGCGCCUACUGGUUAGAAGGAACCAAAAACAAUAAACAAUCUUUCAAA